UAUCUGGGGAAAAAUCAUGGUGUCA
rnacentral:piRNA from 1 species